GCUUUUUUUUUUCUGUGCGUCGAUCAGAUUAUGAUGAUCAUGAAAGCCCUAUUCGGCCAGCAAAAUAGCUGUGUAUAAACGGAUGUGUUCAUCGGUACGACUAUAGUUCCGCUGUUGACAAAUUGAAAAACCUUCAACGACACAAAAAGUUCUUUACGAGUCGAUGCUUUAAAAUUUUGUUGACACUUUGAGCCAAAACAGUCCGAAUGUUCAGGAGAAGAAAGCGAUUAGGGCUAGAAUAAUAGUAGUUAUCUCAUCCUACUCACAUUGUUUGCUGUCUGUAAUUUGGGUAAUAUUGCCUCAACGACUAACAGCAUGAGCUGUCAAACAGAACAAAUUGCUGUCCAUUUAGGGUCAAAAUUAUUCGUUGAUGGCGUUUUCCUGGAGGUUUCAUAACCGGUGCUAAAGUUGAACACAUAUUUAAUGUUCGGCACAUUCACAUUUCAUUCAUAACUAACUGUGCGUGUUACAAGAGCUCCCGCAAUUUGCGUUAUUCAUAGUUCUAAGAAACUGCGCCGAGUUCCGCGUUGUUUUUGUCUGCUAUCAUACCAUAAGUGGAAAACGUCGCUGAAAAGAGAAAGUAUCAUUGGAUUUUACACAAAAACACCGAUAAAAAGGUCGGUAUUUCUCAUUUUGUUCAUGUUUCCUGAAUGCACGACCUUUUCUAAUUUUUAAUUUUUAAUUUUAUUCAAAUAAAAUUAGGGUGGCUAGCAUCCCGACGUAACAACAUAGCAACGCGAAAUGUUGUAGUAAACGAAAGCUGUUUUCAAGGCCAUUUUACCGUUGGUUUAUCGCUAAACACAAUGUACACCAGAGCUUCAUUCUAUAAAACGCUGAUAAAUCUCAAGCCAGAGUUUUCACGCUAAGUUUUAAAACUUAAACUUGGUGAUUUUCAAAUAUAUAAAAGUGUCAUUUUAA